GCUCCUCUCCCCUUCCCCGGUCCCUUGUCACCCGGCCCCGGGGAGCAACGCUGGGGCCUGGCCGGGGGGGCAGCGGGGGCAGCCGGCCUGGCGGAUUCAGUCCUGGCGGCGCCGGGACGGCGGGGUUGGGGUGAGCUUGGAGGGGAAGCGGGGCGAGAAAAUCUUCCCUCCUUUUUCACCUAGAGCUGUGCUUUGCCAAGAACCCCCGUCCCCAGGGGCACGGUGACACCCCCGAGUCCUCAUCCCAUUACGCACUGUACAGGCACACACCAGGAGAGCAAACAGCUCCGCACAGGGACACUCCAGCUCGUGUAGCUGGAGGCUCGCAUCGCGUUAUCGCCCUGACCCGCCGACCUCUCCCCGCAGCCAGCCCCUCCGUGCAUCCAUCCCCCGGGUGCUGCCAGGGCGGCCCUUUACACCUGAAGCCUUUGGACUGCGGACGGAGAGAAAAAGCCAGGGGCUCCCAGGGAGCCAGCUCUGCAGGAUGAUGCAUGGGGUUGGUUUGGGGUUUUUGAUUUUUUUUUUCAGCCAGCCCUAAACUUCCCACGUGCUUCUCCCAAAACCCCGCAUUAUUAGUGAACAAUUAAGGCGUGUAAAAACACGGCGAGGCGAAGCUCUUAGCUUGAAGUGGCCGUUGAAGGUUCUAUUGUAGCUCCUGGCUGCAGCUCCUCGCCCCGACACGGGGGACUGGAGCGGGCAGGGUCAGCCCCAAGGCCGGGCCGGGUGAGGGGCUCUGCGGGGCUCAGGACCUGCUCCCUUCUUGUUUGUCACCGCUCCUCCUUGGGAGCUCAGCCCGCAGACACCACCUUUGGGUUUUCCCUUUUCUAAUCUACUUUUGUUUAUGUGUUUAUUUAUUUAUUUAUUUAUUUUUAGUAUUUAAUUAUCCGGAGAAAACUCUUUAUUUUAUUUUAAACGCUCUCAGCCGAAACAGAGUUCGAUCUCUAGCGCAGGUGACCGCGGCCAUAAUUCCUGUUUAAUGUCACGUUGGUAUAAUUAAACUAAGCUUCACCUCUUUCCCCCAAAUAAAGCCCUUCCUAAAGAAGGCAUUGAAAAAAAAUCUCAGGAACAUGAUGGCAAACGGGCUGGGCUUUGCCGAGCGCGACUCGACCCCACGGACACCCCGACCACCUUCCCCUCCCAGGACAGCCCCCCUCUACCUGCGGCUUCUCUCCUUUCCGAAGUUCUUUCAAGCUUUAUUUCCUUGCAAGCCGCCUAAGCGCCACUGACAAUGAAGUUAACAAGGAAAUAAGCUCGACAGAAAAAGCCAAUAGUACUUUCUCCCCCCCGGACCUGCUCGUUCCAGUGAAGGAACCUGUCCAGAAGCGGAGGAAUAAUCUGUCCCGGGAGAGCACCCUGAUGAAACACGGGAGGGAACACGCGUGGGAGCGCAGCGAGGGAUGACCCCUACGAAAACGCGGCUGUUUAGGUCCGAGGACGCGAGGCUUUGGUUUGCACCCCGAAGGAUUUUCUCCCGGGAAAAGCGGCGGCUUGGACCGACAGCUUUGCAUUAUCUUCACUAUCGUGUGUCCCGGGUAAAUUAAACUCUGCAAAGAAUCGCUCGCCAGCCCCGGAGCAGCUUUGGGGUGUCCCUGCCCGUUGCCCCUCGAGGAGCGGGGAACCUGCAGGAGCCUCUUCGCUCGGCUGUCGGCCCGAAGCUCCGGUGCUUGUGUUCACACCCCUUUUACAGCCGGCUGUCUGCUCGGCAUCCCGCUGCUCCAUAUUUCUGCUGUGAGGAGGAUGGACCGACGGUGCGAGAGAGCUUCCCGUGCACCCGGCUUAUCUCCGAGUGCGGCCCCGGAUCACCACGGGCAUGGGGCAGGGCAAUGCAGGGAGGGAGCUCCAUCCUCGCCCCACGUCUCAUGCCCUCCUGAAACUGCGAAAUAAUGAAAUUAGGGAAUCACCGCGCCACGGCAGCAGACGGGACUUGGAUGUCUCAUGCCAGCAGCCAGCAUGGUUAGGAGGAGGAGGAGAGGAGGGGGCCUUGCUGCUGGGGGCGCCCCCGCGGCCGGGAGCGCUGGGGCCGGAGUCGCUUCGGGGCCGUUCAGAGGCCGUUUCGGGGCCGUGCCCGGGCCCGGCCGCCCGCUCAGCCGCUCCUGCAGUGCCACCUGGCGGGAACAGCCCGGUAGAUCGGGCAGCGCUCGGGUCCAGGCGUCCCCCGCAGCUUCCCGGGAAGCAUUUCCCCAAGGCUGACAGGGGGAGCGGGGCAAUGUGGGGGGGUGUGCAGGGGAUCCCCGACUGCCUGGGCUUGGGAAACGCUGAGGAUGCGAGUAACAUCAUUAAAAAGAUAUGUAUUGAAAA